rnacentral:rRNA from 1 species
GAUGAACGCUGGCGGCGUGCCUAAUACAUGCAAGUCGAGCGAACGGACGAGAAGCUUGCUUCUCUGAUGUUAGCGGCGGACGGGUGAGUAACACGUGGAUAACCUACCUAUAAGACUGGGAUAACUUCGGGAAACCGGAGCUAAUACCGGAUAAUAUUUUGAACCGCAUGGUUCAAAAGUGAAAGACGGUCUUGCUGUCACUUAUAGAUGGAUCCGCGCUGCAUUAGCUAGUUGGUAAGGUAACGGCUUACCAAGGCAACGAUGCCUAGCCGACCUGAGAGGGUGAUCGGCCACACUGGAACUGAGACACGGUCCAGACUCCUACGGGAGGCAGCAGUAGGGAAUCUUCCGCAAUGGGCGAAAGCCUGACGGAGCAACGCCGCGUGAGUGAUGAAGGUCUUCGGAUCGUAAAACUCUGUUAUUAGGGAAGAACAUAUGUGUAAGUAACUGUGCACGUCUUGACGGUACCUAAUCAGAAAGCCACGGCUAACUACGUG